rfam:Lupinus angustifolius cultivar Tanjil chromosome LG06, whole genome shotgun sequence.
AAUCCAUGAUUAGGACAUUUCCUCAGCAACAUCUGGAAACGUUCCCAUGCCUCAUAAAAAGCUACCUCAACAAGUUGUCUAAAUGUUGAGAUU